GAUGGAGAACGCAGCGAAAUGCGAUACUUGGUGUGAAUUGCAGAAUCCCGUGAACCAUCGAGUCUUUGAACGCAAGUUGCGCCCGAAGCCAUUAGGCCGAGGGCACGCCUGCCUGGGCGUCACACGUCGUUGCCCCCCCAUCUACUCCUUCGGGAUUGCGGGGGGCGGAUGAUGGCCUCCCGUGCGCCUCGCCGCGCGGUUGGCAUAAAUGCCAAGUCCUCGGCGACGCACGCCACGACAAUCGGUGGUUGCGAAACCUCGGUUGCCCGUCGUGUGCGGUCGUCGCGCAUCGAGGGCUCGAAAAAAUUGCCGGGUUCCGGCUCGGCUUUCAACGCGACCCCAGGUCAGGCGGGGUUACCCGCUGAAUUUAAGCAUAUCAAUAAGCGGAGGA
rnacentral:misc_RNA from 1 species